GACGAACGCUGGCGGCGUGCUUAACACAUGCAAGUCGAACGGAAAGGCGCUGCUUUUGUUGGGUGGUCGAGUGGCGAACGGGUGUGUAACACGUGUGUAACAUGCCCUUGAAUUUGUGAUAACUUCAGGAAACUGGGGCGAAUAUCGGAUAUGAGCUCCUGCUGCAUGUUGGGGGUUGGAAAGUGUCGGCGGUUGGGGAUGGACUCGCGGCUUAUGAGCUUGAUGGUGGGGUAGUGAAGUUCCAAGGGUAUGAAGGGUAGGCGGCCUGGGAGGGUGACCGGCCACAUUGGGACUGAGAGACGCCCCAGACUCCUACGGGAGGCAGCAGUCGGGAAUAUUGCACAGCGGGCGGAAGCCUGAUGCAGCAACGCCGCGUGUGGGAUGCCGGCCUUCGGGUUGUAAACCGCUUUCGCCUGUGACGAAGCGUGAGUGACGGUAAUGAGUAAAGAAGCACCGGCUAACUACGUG
rnacentral:rRNA from 1 species